GACGAACGCUGGCGGCGUGCUUAGCACAUGCAAGUCGAACGCUGAAGCUCAGCUUGCUGGGUGGAUGAGUGGCGAACGGGUGAGUAACACGUGAGUAACCUGCCCUCUUCUUUGGGAUAACGCCCGGAAACGGGUGCUAAUACUGGAUAUUCACUGAUUCUCGCAUGGGGGUUGGUGGAAAGGUUUUUUCUGGUGGGGGAUGGGCUCGCGGCCUAUCAGCUUGUUGGUGGGGUGAUGGCCUACCAAGGCUUUGACGGGUAGCCGGCCUGAGAGGGUGACCGGUCACAUUGGGACUGAGAUACGGCCCAGACUCCUACGGGAGGCAGCAGUGGGGAAUAUUGCACAAUGGGCGAAAGCCUGAUGCAGCGACGCCGCGUGAGGGAUGGAGGCCUUCGGGUUGUAAACCUCUUUCGCUCAUGGUCAAGCCGCAGCUUGGGGUUGUGGUGAGGGUAGUGGGUAAAGAAGCGCCGGCUAACUACGUG
rnacentral:rRNA from 1 species